CUAUAAAAGGGCGCGCAGGCAACGCGCUCUAUCCAGUUGAAAAGAGUGCGUUGUAAAGAACAGUCAUAAGCAGUCCGCUAAGAGAUUAGUAGCAACUACGAAGUGAAGUCGCAAACAUGUGCAAGGCUGUUGUAGAUUGUAAAGAAAGAAUGAAGGAUUGGAAGAGUGUGAGGAGACGCUGAGCAAACGGCCUUCAAAUCGAAAGUGGUGUGAGUCAUGCUGCCACCAGAUAUCCAUGCGAAAAGCCACCAGGCAUUGGUCACGGAGCACACUCGUUUCCUGCUCCUCGCACGUUAAUGGCAACGAUGAUGAGGAACGGAACACAAACAAGAAACUACGUCGCAGUGGGUCACUGAAUGAAUCCGCGUCCCGGUAGCAACAAUAGUUCGACUAUGGCUGGUACUGGUAAAGAAGAAUCCCGAACCCGAUCGUCGCAGUGACGAUGACGUUGCGUUGUAGAGUUACUGAGUGAGUCUCAACGUCUGUCCGAGUCCCCCCACGUCCAACGCCAGGCACUGAGUUCCGCAAACCAGCCGAUGGCCGAUUCUACACAGAUCGCCGGAGCAGGGAGCAGCAGCAGCAAACACCACCGAGUCUCCUCUGCAUGCCAAUGCCCAUGCAAUUCAGUCGCAGCGGACAGAACAUUGGGGACAAGGCGGAAUGCGCGCGGCAGCAGCUCCAGCUCGCAUCAGCUUACCUGCGUUUGAAGCUCUCGUUGCCAACCACCGACAAUCACCACCUAUUCUGCAUUGAACGCUUCGCAGCUGCUGAUCACCACCCACCCAUCCGCACAGAUACACGGUAUUUGGUAUAUCAGCUGCGAACAAAAUAUUGCUUUUUAAACAAAAUUCCAGAGAUAAGAACAGCGGAACAGAACAUUUAUCAUCGAAACGACACUGAGGAACUGCUGUAAUCCUUUUGAGUGAACACCUUGUGGGAUUGUUAUUGUGAUAAACAAUUGAAUGGCAGUCGUCGAGUUUUUAUCUUUAUCUUUAUUCGCUCGGUACACUUUCCUGGACUUCUCUUUCACCGUUUAUGAUUUUGGCAAGCGAUUAUUGGACCCUUUGCAUUCAAACUCCCCAUCUUCCUAAUCAAUAGGCUAGAUAAGGCCGCUUAAAUCUUUGUAGCUGCAUGUCACAGUUGAUCGGUUCCUGUGGGUGCAUUUGUUUGAUGGGAUUACUUUGCCGUCUUCAAGUAUUCACGGUCUUGAGGGCACCAGACGAGGAUCUUCCAAGCAAAUUUAAACGGAAGCCGGCGUGAAAGAGUGUGUAGACUAGGCACGACCAUCACUUUUCGUUUUUUUUUUUUUUAGCGUUGCAUCGCAGUUGAUCGGUGCCUGCGGGCAUGUAUAAAUGGAACCUAGCGAGGCGGAAGCUUGAGCUCUUCAAUUCUAUGACCCAAAACAACGCUCCUGCGACAGCAAGCCUUCAAUUAGAAUAUGUGCAAAGAAGCAUAACUAAUCAACUGAACAAGCGUAAAAGCUAAGAUAAAU